rnacentral:rRNA from 1 species
CUUGACCUCAAAUCAGGUAGGACUACCCGCUGAACUUAAGCAUAUCAAUAAGCGGAGGAAAAGAAACUAACAAGGAUUCCCCUAGUAACUGCGAGUGAAGCGGGAAAAGCUCAAAUUUAAAAUCUGGCGGUCCUUGUGGCCGUCCGAGUUGUAAUUUAGAGAA